rnacentral:rRNA from 1 species
CAAUUAUAAAGAUUUAAGCAAUUUUUUGCCGCCUGCCGUUCGAUAUUAAAGUUUGAUCCUGGCUUGGAUAAAGGUUGGGGGCGUGCCUAAAACAUGCAAGUGGAACGCAAAAGGAACACCGUAUUCUACUAUACCGUACUUUGUGAGUCGCGAACGGGUGAGUAACGCGUAGGUAACCUACCUUUUAUCGUGGGAUAACUAUUGUAAACGAUAGCUAAUACCGCAUAAGAUAUCUUACUGCAUGGGAAGAUAUUAAAAGAUGCAAUUGCAUCACUAAGAGAUGGACCUGCGUUGUAUUAUCUAGUAGGUGAGGUAACGGCUCACCUAGGCAACGAUACAUAGCCGACCUGAGAGGGUGAUCGGCCACACUGGGACUGAGACACGGCCCAGACUCCUACGGGAGGCAGCAGUAGGGAAUCUUCGGCAAUGGGGGGAACCCUGACCGAGCAACGCCGCGUGAGUGAAGAAGGUUUUCGGACUGUAAAGCUCUGUUGUAAGAGAAGAACGAGUGUGAGAGUGGAAGGUUCACACUGUGACGGUAACUUACCAGAAAGGUACGGCUAACUACGUGCCAGCAUCCGCAGUAAUACGUAGGUCCCGAGCGUUGUCCGGAUUUAUUGGGCGUAAAGCGAGCGCACGCGGUUAUAUAAGUCUGACGUUAAAGGCUGUGGCUUAACCAUAGUACGCUUUGGAAACUGUUUACUUGAGUGCAGAAGGAGGACAGUGGAUUCCUGUGUAGCGUGAAAUGCGUAGAUAUAUGGAGGAACACUGGUGGCGAAAGCG